rnacentral:lncRNA from 1 species
GACAUGUCCUCCACUGCACCUCUGACGGAGGGAGCCAGUGCAAGUUCCUCCCUCUUCACGUAUUUCUUUAUUAAUUCCAGGGUCUUUUCUCUUUUUUUCUCUUACAAAAUAAAAGAAAUUAAAAAUCUCUUUUAUAACCUUCACAACGGAAAGGCUUCCAGGCAACUCGGAAAUCAUAGAGGUGGGCACAUUGCUGUUGCACUCAGCCUCUCUGAAGACAGACAGGGUGGUUUCCUUUUCUAGGGUUCCUGGGCUGUCUGCAGACCACACUCGUAGGGAAGUACACCUUCCUGCGUCGGUGCCAACUGAGAACUCCCAGGACCACACGCCAACUUGGAGCGGCUUUCUGACUCAGUGCUGAACUUUUCCUCACCUCCCCCUCCUGACCCAGGCGUUCGUUUGCAGGUUUACUCCAAGUUUGAAGAAUUUGGACUAUUUCGACCUAAGUGGCUCAUCGGUAGUCACUUUGUCAAACAUCACAUCUGACGGUGGCUGCUGGAAAAAAUGAGGAAAGAUUCUCAGAGGACACAGAGACGACCUCUUCUCCAUGUUGUGUUCUUGUUGUAAAGAGAGCCAUCCCAUAGAUAGUCGUAAGCGCCGUGCUAGGAAAGACUGGGGAAAGGUGAGCAGCCACUGCUCUGGGUGACAAGGAUGGGAGGGAGAAACAGCCUAGGAUGGACCAGUAGCAUCCUGAGUGGAGCAGGACGCUGGGCAGGUGCAGGAGCUGACUGCCAGCAUUCCUACAGCACACACACUCAAUGCAGAGGUGUAACGGAUUCUGGGACAGCAGUUCUCAACCUGUGAGUCAUGACCCCUUGGGGGCUCACAUAUCAGAUAUUCUGUACAUCAGAUAUUCACAUUAUGACUUAUAACAGUAGCAAAACUACCAUUAUGAGGUAGCAAUGACAUGAUUUUAUGGUUGGGGAUCAUCACCACAUGAGGAACUAUAUUAAAGGGUCGCAGCAGUUGAAGGUUGAGAACCACUGGACUAAGUGACCCCUCAUCUGGGUGGCUUCCGUAGGCACAGGACACAUGCUCUAAGACAGGCUAUAGCAACUAUCCCUCUACUGUCCUUCUUGGAGUGAUUGCCUACCGCCCUGCUGGAGUUCAGGUUGUACCAGAUUUGAGCUCUUGAUGUCAUGUGGGCUUUGCAGACCAGAAGCCAGAACUUUUCCUGGCUCCCUCUCCUCUUUUCUGAGGCCAUUGUAUAAAAUGAGGAUGAACAAGGCACAUGACAUGUUUCCAUCAUAUGAAAAUGGCUGGAAUUGACAAGUUUGAGUUUUACAAAAUGAACUGCAAGGAAGGAGCCAACACUUCCAAAAUCAGAUAGAUUUAGAGAUUUGAUACUGUGUAUCUAGAUUUCUAACAGGCUGCAACUCCUAUUUUCUUGCUGGUAACCUUGUAGCUUUCUCCUGCCCCCACUUUUCUUCUUAUUGGUGAAUGUGAGAGGAAUAUGACCAACAAUAAAAGAGACCCAGACACUUAGAUUCAUCAAAGAGGCAGUCUGGAAACUCUGCUGUUUCCAUGCGUGAACACACAUUGCAUGCCCCUGAGUCUUCGCAGAAAACAUGAAUUACUGGCAGAAGGAGGCAGAACCCCUACAAAAUCCAUGCCGAUGGUUCUUUUAGGAGACUGGGGGUGGGGGGCAUGAAGGUCACAGAAAAUAACAUUUGAGCAAACUACCCUUUGCCUUCUGUAUGUUGAUUCCUGCAGUAUAACUAAGUGGAUGUGGUUGGUCAUUAAAGAUUAUUAUAUGUGUAGAUAUGAGCUCUGUGGUGUAUUGCAU